GACGAACGCUGGCGGCGGGCUUAACACAUGCAAGUCGAACGGUAAGGCCCUGCUUCUGUGGGGUGCUCGAGCGGCGAACGGGUGAGUAACACGUGUGUAACCUGCUCUCUAAUUUGGGAUAAUUUCAGGAAACUGGGGCUACUAAUGGAUAGGAGUUUCUGCUGCAUGAUGGGGGUUGGAAUGUUGCGGCGGUCUGGGAUGGAUUCGCGGCUUAUCAGCUCGUUGGUGGGGUAGUGGCUUACCCAGGGUUUGCCGGGUAGCCGGCCUGGGAGGGUGACCAGCCACAAUGGGACUGAGGUACGGCGCAGACUCCUACAGUGGGCAGCGGUGGGGAAUAUUGCGCAGUGAGCGGAAGCCUGAUACGGCAACGCCGCGUGCGUGAUGUCGGCCUUCGGGUUAUAAACCGCUUUAGCCUAUGACGAUGCGUGAGUGACGGUAAUGGGUGAAGAAGCACCGGCUAACUACGUG
rnacentral:rRNA from 1 species